UACCAUUUAAUAGUGUAAUUUAAUAUACACGUUUAAGCAAUGGAGUUGCAAUUAUCCAGAACGGAUUAUGCCGUAGUGGGUGUUGUUAGUAAAAAUUGCGUUAAGUUACUUCCGGGUUCUGCACCUAAGGAACAACAGAAGAUAGCAAUAGCAGAUAGCGAAGGGAUCCUUCAAGUGAUUUCAGUGAAAAAGGACGACAUCCAAUUGCAAUUUAAAACUCUACCAGGACCACCCAUUGUGUCUCUAAAAGUAGCUGGGGCCUCAGGGACACUCAAUGACAAAAUAUUCAUAGCCACUGGUAACGAAGUGAAAGGUUACACCAAAAAGGGAAAACUAUUCUUGGCAUUUGACUCUGGAAUGACAGAGAACAUAACUUCCAUGUGUGUUAUUGGUAAUGAACUAUUCCUUUGCGGACGACACGUGUAUAGUCAUUACAGGGAUUGCAAAGAGAUCGGCUCCUAUUUAUGCGGGGAUAUUAUUGUCGACGUAAUUGCAUUUUAUAUGACCAAAAGCAGAAGAUUGACAUCUCUUAUAGCAUGCGAGGGACGGAUGAUCAGAGUACUGGAGCAUGCCAGAGUUACUUUUAGUAUAGAAGUUGAGAGUUCUCCUACAGUUUUGCAUAUUUAUGAAGAUGAUGAGUCUAAGACUGUUCUUUUUGGUACAGUUGAUGGUAGAGUUGGAAUUUUGGAUAUUGAGAGUUUGCAGGAUUUCCAAAGAUGGCUACUGUCUGACGAAGAAAAUAACUGUUCAGUUUUAUGCAUGGACAGUUAUGACAUGACUGGUAACGGAACUAAAAAUUUAAUCCUCGGAAGGCAAAAUGGCAGAAUCGAAAUAUACUCGAUUAACGUCCACGACAACAUGGACGCGACCAGUUUAAUAUUUGUCGAGGAUUGUAAAGAAAGCAUUAUGUCCCUUCAAUGUGGAGUUGUCGGAGCUUAUGGAUACGACGAAGUGCUGGCAGUUACGUAUAACGGACGAGUCUUUGGACUCACCACUCAAGUUGCAGACGCUAAUUUUGAUGGAACUACUGGCAGUUACGUUUUUUCCACUGACGCAUCAGCAAAAAUCAAUAAGUUAAAGAGUAGCAUUGAAGAGUUACAACAAAAAGUGAACAAAGAGAGAGAACGAUAUCAAUCGUCUACACUAAGCAAUAGUUUUAUGGAGCUAUCAGCAAUAUCGCUGAUCCCAGUGAACCACACUUUUGUACUGGAUCGAGCUACUGCCACCUACAGCCUGAUAAUAGAAGUACCCACAGCAAUUGAUAAUAUCCUGAUCGAAUGUAAUGCCAAAAUUGAAUUGAUGGACGUUGAAAGGAAUACUGCUGUUAUUAGUUAUAAUGAUACGCCGGGAAAGGGACAUCAUUUGCUUGCCACAUACAGAUGUCAAGUGGAUACGAAUCGUAUUGAAUUGAAAAUCCAGACGACAGAGGGUAGCUAUGGAACCCUAAAAGCGUACGUUUCGCCGGCUUUGCAACCCAAAUGUAGCAGAUUGUUACAGUUUGACAUAAAGGCUUUGUCUUUACACUACAGAGUUCACGAGUAUAAUGAUGUAAAUAGGCCGCGUAGCACGUUGAAAAUAAAAGGGACGUUUUCUCUUGCCGAGGUACACAACUGGAUAACUCAAUGCCUUCCAGAAAUUCCCGAAAAAUACCAAAGUUCCGAGGGAAAUAAACUGAUUUUCCAGUCGAGCAUGAUGGAUACCGUCCUGGUGUGUUUAUACAAGUGAGGCCGAGUUUACGUCCGAUAAUAUCAUGUCUCUGUGUUUAAUUAAAGAGGUGCUCAGUGAGGAAGCAACAAGGAAGAAAGCGAAAAUUGAGAUCGGUUUUGAUAUUAACAACGAAUGUAUGAGUUACGUCUUAAAUAUAUUACAA
rnacentral:misc_RNA from 1 species